UGCAAUAAUCAAUGCUUUAAAAGAUGAAAACGUGAAUAACACUAAUCGGUAUUAACAUGAACAAUAAUCCAAUGCACAAAAUGUCACAAGUAGAGUCAAAACCAAUGAAAAAUAAGAUAAUAAUACCUGAGUUAGGUGAGGAUGCAAAUAACGAAACCAACAAAACCAUAAAAUUAUAUAGAUAUAUAAAGCAUGUUCACAGAGUCAUUGGUGAUUUGGGAACUAAGAAACAUGGGGAUGUGUUGGAUUUUGGGAGCUAGCCAAGCACUUACAAAUACAAUUACCACAGGGAACACAUGCAAAGCAAUACAUAUAAUAUGAGUGUACCCAAUUCGAUUCCAAGCAA
rnacentral:lncRNA from 1 species